rnacentral:piRNA from 1 species
UAGGUAAACUGGAACCUUGUCCUUGGAGC